rnacentral:rRNA from 1 species
AGAGUUUGAUCAUGGCUCAGGAUGAACGCUGGCGGCGUGCUUAACACAUGCAAGUCGAACGAUGAUCCGGUGCUUGCACCGGGGAUUAGUGGCGAACGGGUGAGUAACACGUGAGUAACCUGCCCUUAACUCUGGGAUAAGCCUGGGAAACUGGGUCUAAUACCGGAUAUGACUCCUCAUCGCAUGGUGGGGGGUGGAAAGCUUUAUUGUGGUUUUGGAUGGACUCGCGGCCUAUCAGCUUGUUGGUGAGGUAAUGGCUCACCAAGGCGACGACGGGUAGCCGGCCUGAGAGGGUGACCGGCCACACUGGGACUGAGACACGGCCCAGACUCCUGCGGGAGGCAGCAGUGGGGAAUAUUGCACAAUGGGCGCAAGCCUGAUGCAGCGACGCCGCGUGAGGGAUGACGGCCUUCGGGUUGUAAACCUCUUUCAGUAGGGAAGAAGCGAAAGUGACGGUACCUGCAGAAGAAGCGCCGGCUAACUACGUGCCAGCAGCCGCGGUA